rnacentral:rRNA from 1 species
UACGUAGGGGGGCAAGCGUUGUCCGGAUUUAUUGGGCGUAAAGCGCGUGUAGGCGGCCAAACAGGUCAGCUGUGAAAACUCGAGGCUCAACCUCGAGACGUCGGUUGAAACCGUUUGGCUAGAGUCCGGAAGAGGAGAGUGGAAUUCCCCGGUGUAGCGGUGAAAUGCGCAGAUAUCGGGAAGAACACCCGUGGCGAAGGCGGCUCUCUGGGACGGUACUGACGCUGAGACGCGAAAGCGUGGGGAGCGAACAGG